rnacentral:rRNA from 1 species
GACGUAGGGCGCAAGCGUUGUCCGGAUUUAUUGGGCGUAAAGGGUGCGUAGGCGGCGCGGUAAGUCGGGUGUGAAAUCUUGGAGCUUAACUCCGAAACUGCAUUCGAUACUGCCGUGCUUGAGGACUGGAGAGGAGACUGGAAUUUACGGUGUAGCGGUGAAAUGCGUAGAUAUCGUAAGGAAGACCAGUGGCGAAGGCGGGUCUCUGGACAGUUCCUGACGCUGAGGCACGAAGGUCAGGGGAGCAAACGGG